UGCUGGACAAGAUGGAAACCCAGCUGGAGUGGGAGUGCUGCGACCCGUGGAUGAAUCCAGAAUCCCUCAGGCAACACCUGCAUGAAAAAAGCUGCCCAAGAACAGAAACCUCUAGGCAAAAGCCUGGGAGAAGAUGCUGCAGGCAAUCACAUGCAAAGGAGGAGUUGUCCAAAGAAGAAAGUCUGCCCAAGAAAGAAUUGACCAUGGGGUAGCAGUGAAAAACAUCCUUGAUCAGGGCUGAAAAUAGCUGUGUUAUCAACGUUGAGGGCAGAUCAAUCUGUUAACAUUUUUGGAACACAUCAGUGGGGAAUCUAUGAAGAUAUCUUAAUAAGGCAUUUGCAAUCACA